CCUACGGGCGGCAGCAGUCGAGAAUCAUUCACAAUGGGGGAAACCCUGAUGGUGCGACGCCGCGUGGGGGAAUGAAGGUCUUCGGAUUGUAAACUUCUGUCAUGUGGGAGCAAAUUAAAAAGAUAGUACCACAAGAGGAAGAGACGGCUAACUCUGUGCCAGCAGCCGCGGUAAUACAGAGGUCUCAAGCGUUGGUCGGAAUCACUGGGCGUAAAGGGUGCGUAGGCUGUUUCGUAAGUCGUGUGUGAAAGGCGCGGGCUCAACCCGCGGACGGCACAUGAUACUGCGAGACUAGAGUAAUGGAGGGGGAACCGGAAUUCGCGGUGUAGCAGUGAAAUGCGUAGAUAUCGAGAGGAACACUCGUGGCGAAGGCGGGUUCCUGGACAUUAACUGACGCUGAGGCACGAAGGCCAGGGGAGCGAAAGGGAUUAGAUACCCCAGUAGUC
rnacentral:rRNA from 1 species